ACAUGAAGCCGGAAUCGCUAGUAAUCGCGGAUCAGAAUGCCGCGGUGAAUACGUUCCCGGGUCUUGUACACACCGCCCGUCACACCAUGGGUGUCGGAAAUGCCCGAAGCCGGUGACCCAACCCGAAAGGGAGGGAGCCGUCGAAGGCAGGUCGGAUGACUGGGGUGAAGUCGUAACAAGGUAAC
rnacentral:rRNA from 1 species